UGGGGAAUCUUGCGCAAUGGCCGAAAGGCUGACGCAGCGACGCCGCGUGUGGGAGGACGCCUUUCGGGGUGUAAACCACUGUUGCCCGGGACGAACAUCCCUUUUCGAGGGGACUGACGGUACCGGGUGAGGAAGCACCGGCUAACUCCGUGCCAGCAGCCGCGGUAAUACGGAGGGUGCGAGCGUUGUCCGGAAUCAUUGGGCGUAAAGGGCGCGUAGGUGGCGGGACAAGCGUGCGGUGAAAGCCUGGGGCUCAACCCCGGGUCGGCCGUGCGAACUGUUUUGCUUGAGCACUGUAGAGGCAGGCGGAAUUCCGGGUGUAGCGGUGGAAUGCGUAGAGAUCCGGAAGAACACCGGUGGCGAAGGCGGCCUGCUGGGCAGUAGCUGACACUGAGGCGCGACAGCGUGGGGAGCAAACAGGAUUAGAUACCCCCGUAGUCC
rnacentral:rRNA from 1 species